UUAUACUAGUGAAUUUAAAUUCUAUAUAAUUCCAGCAAAUCUAAGAAGCAACAAUAAAUCAAUAAAUGGACAGAGAACAGAGGAUAAGCGUUCAGAUAAAGUUAGUCUAAGUGACUGCAGAGUAGGUUAUGCUGUGUUUGGUCACUGAUGCAGCCUUCAGGACUCUGUUUGUAUUCCGCAAAGUAGCAGAGGCUGAAUCAGACUGGCAGCCUGUUUCUUAGUGAGAGCCAAGGGAGGAAGUCAGCUUCCUCACCCCUAUAGCUGCCUCAUUGGGCUGAGGUCACUUCCUUUUGCCCCCCCAGCCCUUCUCCAGGCCUGCCCAAUCAGCAAGGCCCUGUGUGGGACCCCACCCCUCUUAGAGCACCAUGCAGACUCUGGAUAUAGUUACAAGGCCACGGGGGACUGUCAGUUCUCUCUCCCUUUCUUUCUCUAUCCUCCUCUCUCCCUCCUCCCAUUCUGUUUUUCCGAGUCUCCCGGGUGUUCUUCGCUGCCACCACCCUGUCCCCCUGCACUCCUAAGAAAAUCCUUUAGAUGAGAACUGCUCCUGCGUCUGCUCCCUCUAAGCAUCCCUGACACCAGCAAACCUGAUGUUGGAGUUAUGUGUUAAUAAACCAACAAGAACUGCUGUUCAGCAGACUCACUGCUGUACACACAAGCCACUGCAGGAUGCUGGAUGGCAGCAGAAGAGAAAGCUUCGGGCCUGUAAACAGUAGAAAUUGAGACAUCGUUCAACUUGGCAUGCUGAGAUCGAUUUCCAGGUCACAUGCAGGAGGACAGAGGGAAGAGAAGACGGUCGGGCGCAAAAAAAAAAAAAAAAAAAACACAGCUGAGAAGAGAAUUGUGAGUCACUUCCUAUUUGGUGUCAGAAAGAAAAUGUUUUGCAAGCUUCUCUGCAGACACAGAGCUCCAACAGUGGUUUAGAUUCUCGCAACAAAGUAGAGAGCGAAGAGAUGUGAAUCAGGACAGACAGCCCCUGACUGCCAUACCACAGCGCCUGGUGUCAAACAGAUGUGCAACUUGGCAGCUAUGCUCCCCAGAAAACAGAGAACCCAUGGAUUUCAGGGUGGUUUUUAGUCGUGCUGCCCUCCCCAUCUUUCAGCACUCCUCCUGUCCCCCCAAACAGUCUGAACUCCCCCACACUGUGCCCCUGCAGUCACCCUCCCUCAUCACCUCCACACAGGGGUCCCCUGACAGGUAAUCUUGUCCCUCGAAUGUGAAAUCUCCGACAGCGAUGCCCCGCGCUUUUACCCCCUGCCUCCUCGGCUGAUGGGUAAAUUGGAAUGGCGCACCCUGCUGGCGCGGAGAGCUCUGAACAGACAGCAGUACACACACGCUGGGGCACCCCCCUCAUGCGCUUCUGUCUAAUAUAGUGGACAUGCACACUCGUUUUCGAGCUGCGAUAUCUAUGCACAGACACAUGUCCAUGCACGUAUGUGCGCCGGGGAACACAAAAAGCCAAACGCUCCAAAGCUUUAUGUAAACCACAUACGCAGCCUUAUAAACACAAAUACGUACAGACGCUCUGUGGGUUCAGUCUCAUCUGCAUACAGAUUGGAUACAAAAUAAAAAAAAGACAGAGAUACUGAGCUGAGUCAAUAUAUGUUGAAAUUUAAAUAAGCAUCAUCUGAAAUGGCUCAGCUUGUGUCCUUUUUCCAGAAACUGCACCUGAUUUGUGUUGCCAUGGUUUCUAUUAUGUGUACACCGUUGGGGAGAAGAGACAAAAUAGAUGAAAARGUAGAAACUAGAGAAUACAUGUGCAUGUUUUUUGGYGCCCCAUGCGUGGAUAUGGUAAGCACUACUAACUCUGACGUUUACAAUAAGGACACUGUGGCAUCAAUUUAUUACCAGAAGAGGUUUGUUUUUUCUUUUAAUCAGCCAUGGUUUCUAAGAGGCUUGGCAUGGCUG